AAUAGAUACCCGGGUAGUCCACGCCGUAAACGAUGAGUGCUAAGUGUUAGAGGGUUUCCGCCCUUUAGUGCUGCAGCUAACGCAUUAAGCACUCCGCCUGGGGAGUACGGCCGCAAGGCUGAAACUCAAAGGAAUUGACGGGGCCCGCACAAGCGGUGGAGCAUGUGGUUUAAUUCGAAGCAACGCGAAGAACCUUACCAGGUCUUGACAUCCUCUGACAUUCCUAGAGAUAGGAUGUUCCCCUUCGGGGGACAGAGUGACAGGUGGUGCAUGGUUGUCGUCAGCUCGUGUCGUGAGAUGUUGGGUUAAGUCCCGCAACGAGCGCAACCCUUGUUCUUAGUUGCCAGCAUUCAGUUGGGCACUCUAAGGAGACUGCCGGUGACAAACCGGGGGAAGGUGGGGAUGACGUCAAAUCAUCAUGCCCCUUAUGACCUGGGCUACACACGUGCUACAAUGGAUGGUACAAAGGGCAGCAAAGCCGCGAGGCCUAGCCAAUCCCAUAAAACCAUUCUCAGUUCGGA
rnacentral:rRNA from 1 species